GCAUCCGCGCGGCGUCGAACGGCAUCUGCAGCAGCGACAUCCCAGCCGGUCAGCGCUUCCUGCGAUAUUAACCAGGAUGACAGCGUAGCGAUGGGCCAAGAAUGCAGCGCCGAGGCAUCUGCUACGCCAGUCGGGGCACAUGGCAUGGAAUCGCAGGAUCUCACAGAUGAUGAAUUCAACAGUACCGAUGUGCGCGAAUGUGACCUUAACGAAAUGUUGACUUGGAAGGUCAUAACCAGGAUGCACAAGAGCAAGAAGAGGGCUCGAGUGAGCCAGAAGCACAACAUAGAUAUUCUGGACAAGGAGAGGACUUCAGCCAACUAGACGCUCAAGAC
rnacentral:lncRNA from 1 species